UACGUAGGCAGCAAGCGUUGUUCGGAGUUACUGGGCGUAAAGGGUGCGUAGGUGGCUCUAUAAGUAUGGUGUGAAAUCUCCCGGCUUAACUGGGAGGGUGCGCCGUAGACUGUGGGGCUAGAGUGUGGGAGAGGAAAGUGGAAUUCCUGGUGUAGCGGUGAAAUGCGUAGAUAUCAGGAGGAACACCGGUGGUGUAAACGGCUUUCUGG
rnacentral:rRNA from 1 species